UAGAAAUUUCUCGAUAUUUGAAAGAUAGAGCUAGUGAGGACUCGCUAUAACCAGAAAGAAAAAAGAAAGGGAAAAAAAAUUCUUUGAGCAGAACUGUUUAUCAGGGUGCCUGUCUAUUUUGGCUUUUAAAACUUUGUAACCUGUAGCAUUUGGAAAGCUUCUAUACCAGUUAUUCAGAUGUUUGGAAACAAGGAUGAAUUACAACCAGUAAUCUCAAAUCCAGCUUUUUGAAAUUUGUUUCAGAAAAAGGUACAGGAGGUCUGAAAUCACAUUUCACUGUGGCGGAGGGCUUAUGGGGGCCCAUACAAAUGGGCUAUGGUGUAUACUUGCCACUCGCCCUCCUGACCAUUAUGGUCAACACUACUACUGUUGAAGGAGAAGACUUCAUGAUGAGUCGAGAUUUAUCCAUAAAAUCCAUCGUUGGCCUCACAAUACAAGGAAAAGAGACAGCUCUGGAUUGUCCUUUAUCAGAGGCUACGAGUUUGACGGCAAUAGUAGAAGUUGGACUCAACCUCCACUCCGCACUCAGCCAGCUCUGGAACCAGAAUGACACUCAAGGGUUCACCCGCUUAUUCGCCCUGAAGCACUUCUUCGGCCAUGUUACGUAUAGAAUCUAGAUAGUUCACAAAGCUUUUGUUUAGGGAAGUAUUGGAGUCUCCAACUUCAAGCUUUGCCCCAAUAUACACGUCAGCUCAAUGGCAUUUCAAAAAUAUGGAUUUCUAAAGGUUUAUCUUCUGAUUCUAAAUA